UAGUUCGGAUUGUAGGCUGCAACUCGCCUACAUGAAGCUGGAAUUGCUAGUAAUCACAGGUCAGCAUACUGUGGUGAAUACGUUCCCGGGCCUUGUACACACCGCCCGUCACACCAUGAGAGUUGAGAAUACCCGAAGUCCAUGUCAAAGUGGCCGAAGGUAGGCUUGAUGAUUGGGGUGAAGUCGUAACAAGGUAGC
rnacentral:rRNA from 1 species